rnacentral:rRNA from 1 species
UACAGAGGUCCCAAGCGUUGUUCGGAUUCACUGGGCGUAAAGGGUGCGUAGGUGGUGAGGUAAGUCGGAUGUGAAAGCUCGGAGCUCAACUCCGAAAUGGCAUUGGAAACUACCUUGCUCGAGGAAUGGAAGGGGGACUGGAAUUUACGGUGUAGCGGUGAAAUGCGUAGAUAUCGUAAGGAAGACCAGUGGCGAAGGCGGGUCUCUGGACAGUUCCUGACGCUGAGGCACGAAGGCCAGGGGAGCAAACGGG